GCGAGUAACUGCUGCAUGACGCCUCCUUUUCGAACGAGGGGGGAUCAUGCCUGCUGCGGCAUCCAGGUUCAACCCCUGGUUAUCCGUGC
rnacentral:tRNA from 1 species